AUUGAACGCUGGCGGUAGGCCUAACACAUGCAAGUCGAGCGGAAGCACCGUGCUUGCUCCCUCAUACAGCUGCCGACUGGCGAGUAAGUGCUAGGAACCUCGCUGUCUGCUGUUUCUAGCGUCCUGAAACGGGGGCUCAUACGCCAUUACCCCAUAGGACGUACGUGGGAGAGCAUCGGACCUUCCGCCCUUACGUGAGUCAAUGUCGGAUUAGCUAGUUGGUGGGGUAAAGGCCUACCAAGGCGACGAUGCGUAGAUGGUCUGAGAGGAUGAGCAGGCACACUGGAACUGAGACACGGUCCAGACUCCUACGGGAGGCAGCAGUGGGGAAUAUUGGACAAUGGGCGGAAGCCUGAUCCAGCCAUGCCGCGUGGUUGAAGAAGGGCUUCGGGUUGUAAAGCCCUUUUAGUUGGGAAGAAAGGCAGUAAGUUAAUACCCUGCUGUUUUGACGGUACCAACAGAAUAAGCACCGGCUAACUUCGUG
rnacentral:rRNA from 1 species